UCCCGCCAGUGCCAAGUUAGAGUGCCCGCGACUCUUUUUUGUCUGAGAGAGAGUGAGGAAGGGAGAGAGAGAGAGAGAGUCGGGCGAUGGAAUUUAGUGUGAGCGGGAACGCCCUGAAGACCUUCGCUCGCUCAAUCACGUGCCUCGCACGCGUCGGAAACGAGCUCGCCAUCCAAGCUUCGUCUUCUCAGUUUGCUUUGCACACUCUCAAUUCGUCACGGUCUGCCUAUCACUCAAGUACAUUUAAGCCUGAAUUCUUUGAUGUCUAUACUAUAUCCUGUAACCAGGUGCAAUGUAGUGUGCUUUUGAAGGCUGUUUGUUCUGUGCUUAGGACACCUUUAGCAAGUAUAGAUCAUUUGAGCGUACGAUUGCCUGAUCCCGAUGCAUCAAAAAUGCAAUGGACUUUAGAAUGCUACAGUGGUAUGAAAAAAUCCUAUUGGAUUAUUUGCAAUGUUGAACCAGACAUACAACAUCUAUCUCUUGAUAGGAGACGAUUCCCAAGCAGCUUAGUUGUGAGACCUCGAGAUCUAAACAGAUUGCUUGCUAAUUUUCAGUCAUCGCUUCAGGAGAUUACCAUCAUAGCAACAGAACCCACUUCCGUGCCUUCUGAUCUAGCAAGUGAAAUUGGAGGAAAAGCUGUCGAACUUAGAAGUUAUAUUGACCCGACCAAAGACAGCGACUCAUCACUGCAUACUCAACUAUGGAUAGACCCUGCAGAAGAGUUUGUGCAGUAUACCCACACGGGAGACCCCAUAGAUGUGACGUUUGCUGUGAAAGAGUUGAAGGCAUUCCUUUCCUUCUGUGAGGGCUGUGAAGUUGACAUUCACUUGUAUUUUGAGAAAGCUGGAGAGCCUAUUCUAAUGGCACCCAAGUUCGGUCUAGAUGAUGGGUCCACUUCAAAUUUUGAUGCUACACUUGUACUUGCAACCAUGCUAGUGUCGCAGCUCCAUGAAAGCAAUACCUCAGAACCUCCACAAGCAGCUACUGCAAUGCAUGUUCAGGAAGAUCAUGGGACAGGGUCAGAACCAGGACGAGAAAGGUGUGGAACAAAUGUUUCGGAGCAUCCAUCUGAUCACACCAGAAUUUGGUCUGAUCUUUCAGGAAGUGGUGCAAGAAGUGGCAGUGGUGCCGAAGCAGGACAGGCUCAAGGGGAAAGAAAUUUGAGUGCUAAUGGACAGAGAGAAAUUCAAAGGAUGAGCACAAUGCAUAUUUCAAAGCCUGCAUGUGCUAGGGAAAGUGAACCUGUGCAGGAGGAUCAUAUGGAAGAACCUCGAGAUAGGUCACAAAUUAACGGUGAUGGCUUUUCACAACGUCAUCCUAGCAACUGGAUAGAUGCAGAUGAGGAUGAUAGUGAUGAGGAUGGAGAGGAGAAUGAACUCUGUAUUCCGUCAACACCACCAUACUAUGAAGAACAUUAGGAUUAUUUGCUGUAGUAAAGGUUUGCUGAAUUUCUUCUCUUUCUUAUGUUGUGGGACCCCUUAACACGUAGUUAUCUCCUGCAGUUGAGCAAUUUGUGGUUUUUCUCGUUAAUGUCAGCAUGAUCCCUGAACAUAGCUUACAUGACAGGAUGUCAUCAACCUUUGUAUUAUUUUCUCAUUUAUUCUAAUUUUGUUGUUGUUGUUGAUCUUUUGGUAUGGUUAGAAUAGUUCAGACUGGUUGUGGGUUUCUUUUUCUUAUGUGCUUUUCAACACCUAGAGCUGUUGUAAGAUAAAAAAAUACUGUUGCUGGGGCUGUUCGGGAAUUCAGAUACUUGAGGGCAUUUCUGUCCAUAUGUGA